GACGAUCCUGGUUCGCAGGGCCCUAGGACACCAGACAGAGCAGGUUUGGGGGUGGUUUCUUUUAGCUGGUAACGUCACCUUCGCCUGUCUUGGGGAGGUUUUCUGGAUUCAGCAGAAUCAGAUUCUCGCCCUAAUUUCAAGGUCCUUUGCCUUGGCAGUCAGCUCGCUGUGGGAGGCCUGACAGGAGCUGUCUCCGCCUGAGCCUGCUCACCUGCCUCCAAUCUCACCUGAUCUGACCGUUGACCCUGAGUACCCUCUUCCCAGAGCACAGAGGCUGUCAGGCUCAGAUCCCAAGCGGCUUUUCCUUAAAACAAUGGAGACAAAAAUGUGUGUGUGUGUGUGUGUGUGUGUGUGUGUGUGUGUGUGUGUGUGUGUGUUGCAGUGAAAUAUAAUAGAAUUGACAAGCAGCUUAACUUAAGGCACGAUAAGGCAAGCUCAGAACUCACUGAACGUUCACCUUCAGGAUUUGUUGACCAGCCUUUGGGAGGGAGACUGUGAAUGGAGGCUGCACGACUGCAACCACGUGGGAACCCGGUCGCGUGCUUCCGAGCGUGGCCCCACAGCAUCUUUCUUCGCUGAAACAUGCGUGUGAUAUCCCGCGCGCAUGCCUUCUCCUAUGAAAAACGAAGGACUAUGAAGGAAUGAGCUCGAAGAAACGACGAAAGGGAUCACAUUAUCACAGCGGGACCACAAGCAAGGCCCUGUGUUUGCCGCAGGACAGACACCUGGCUAGAGAAGAAACGCUUCCGUCCAAACCACACAUCGUGGAGGAAGAUAGAUGGGAUAUGACUGGACAGCAGCCUGUCAGGUGGGGCCUUCUUCAUUCAUUUGCGCUCCUGCCAGGCAGAGGAUAAGCAAAGGCCAAAUGUCGAGAUGGUGUAACCAAAAGGUGGACAGAGCCUGGAUGUCAGGCAUGCCUGGAAGGGAUCUGCCCGGAAGAGCCACAGUUCCUGCAGCCAACUCCAUGUGCCUGAAAUGUCAGGAGCUGCAGAUAUGGGGGGACUACGGUUUCCACAAUUUCAUAAUCGCAUGAUUCCACCCGUGUCCCAUUGGUGGUCAUUUACCGUGUUGCCAGUCUUUGGCUCUGACAAGCAAUGCUGCGGUGAACAACCUGGAAGACACAUCCAUCUGCACUGGGCCAUGGAUCUCUUCUUUGAUGGCCUCUGGGUUUUUACAUCCUGAGGAGUGAUCUUCACUGUAAAGCAAGGUGAGCCCCUUCAUUUUCACCACCCUUUGUGAAACGGGGCUAGAAAUGAGUCCCUCAACACCAUGCAGUAUGACUUAAAAAUCAGAUUUUAUUGGCCAAACAUACAAGCCAGGGAUCAGCAAGAAGAGAAAAAGUGAGUAGUCCUCUAUCUUCUCAUUAUCCUAUUGAGAGACAUACUAGCA